ACUUACCUGGCGUAGGGGAUACCGUGAUCAUGAAGGCGGUUCCCCCCAGAGCGAGGCCUCAUCAUUGCACUGCGAUGGGGUUGACCUCUGCGAUUAUCCCUAAUGCGGAUAACUCGGACGCGUAAUUUUUGGUAGUGGGGACUGCGUACGCGCUGUCCCCCC
rnacentral:snRNA from 1 species